rnacentral:rRNA from 1 species
GAGUUUGAUCCUGGCUCAGGAUGAACGCUAGCGGCAGGCUUAAUACAUGCAAGUCGAACGGUAACAUGAGAGCUUGCUCUUGAUGACGAGUGGCGCACGGGUGCGUAACGCGUAUGCAACCUACCCUUUACUGGGGGAUAGCCAGGAGAAAUUCUGAUUAAUACCCCAUGGUACUGUAAUGUAGCAUUACAUAGCAGUUAAAGAUUUAUUGGUAAAGGAUGGGCAUGCGUGACAUUAGUUAGUUGGUAAGGUAACGGCUUACCAAGACGAUGAUGUCUAGGGGUUCUGAGAGGAAGGUCCCCCACACUGGUACUGAGACACGGACCAGACUCCUACGGGAGGCAGCAGUAGGGAAUAUUGGUCAAUGGACGCAAGUCUGAACCAGCCAUGCCGCGUGCAGGAUGACAGCUUUCUGAGUUGUAAACUGCUUUUAUAUAGGAACAAAGAGGCCAUGCGUGGCAAGUUGCGUGUACUAUAUGAAUAAGCACCGGCUAACUCCGUGCCAGCAGCCGCGGUAAUACGGAGGGUGCAAGCGUUGUCCGGAUUUAUUGGGUUUAAAGGGUGCGUAGGUGGUUUUUUAAGUCAGUGGUGAAAGCCUACAGCUUAACUGUAGAGGUGCCAUUGAUACUGGAGAACUUGAGUAUGGACGAGGUAGGCGGAAUUUGUGGUGUAGCGGUGAAAUGCAUAGAUACCACAAAGAACACCGAUAGCGAAGGCAGCUUACUGGACCAUAACUGACACUGAGGCACGAAAGCGUGGGGAGCGAACAGGAUUAGAUACCCUGGU